CCUGGCGGGCGCUCGGGCCUCUUGCCCCGACCCCGGCCCCGGCGGCUCGCCCGCCGAAGGGCUUGGGUUUGCUUCGCCCCAACAGACGAGAAGCCUGAGGCUUGACCGAAAUCAGCAAAUAUUUGGUGAGAACAGCCAGAACCAGAAGCCAGGACUGACAAAUGCUAAAGGAAACGGAAUUCUCCCUACGCAACAGCGCUGGACCUGCCCGAGAGCUCACACCAGCUGGUGCUUACACUAGUAGGCCCUUUGUGUGUCAUCUGCCUGGAGGGAUCCUGUGGACCCCGCUGACCUUGGGGGAGCUUGUGGCCAUGUAUGAAUGCCCACUCUCAGCCCUGAUCAACACUUGACCCUCAACACGGGGUCUGCAAUCU